GAAGAACCACAGCGCGGGCUGGAAGAUGAGCAGGUGGUGUCGUCCUGCGGGCGGAGGGGGACAGGCCGUCCUGGAAGGAACGGCCCAGCAAAGGCACGGAGAACGGGAGUGGAACCAGGGGUGGAGGGCGAGCUAAGGCCGGAUCAGGGGGCGCCAGGAAUACCCGGCUGUGGAGUUCGGCUUGACUUUGUGGGCACAGGGGUGCCGGGAAAGGUUUUGGGCGGAGACUGGCUUCAUGUGCUCUUGAGAAAGCUCCAGGGGGUGGGCAGAGCCAGAACCGCGGGAGAGGGUGGGCGGAGGUCGUCCCGGGGCGGAGGCUCCGUGCCCUGGGCGGGGCGAGGGAGCAGGCGUGCAAGACGCGUCGGAUUGACAGAGCUUCUGACCAAUGGGAUGGGAGCGGGGGCGGGGGCGGUGAGAGGACCCGCAAGGGCCCGGGAAAACUCCGCCCCGCAGCUCAACGCCCCUCUCACCUGCUGCCAGGUGAAGGGUGGAACCCCUGCUGCCAGGCUGAGCACUGGGAUUCCUCACUGGACUCUUUUGCUGUCCGUAAGCCCGGGUGAUGCGUUCUCUGGAGGCCUUCAAGGUGCAGGAGGCCCAGCUAAGUGA
rnacentral:lncRNA from 1 species